UAAGGGGCCUUGAAAAUGAUCAGUUAUGAUUAGCAUCUUUAUUAUCGUAAUCUAUAUUCCAAGGUGAUUUUUUACUUUUGAUACCAUUGUCUCUCCCAACUUUUGUAGAGACUUUCUUUGCCUUGCAUACAGAAGAGAACUAGCUAAUGGAGGAUAUGCAUACCUGACUUUUUUUCCUCUCCGAAGAAAGGAGAAUUCAUCCACUGCCACUGUACCUUUUUUCUUUUGUUUUUUGUCUUGCACAGAAGACUGGCAUCUCCCUGUGAAGGGCUUGUGGCAAAUCUGUCCAACUCCGUUUCUUCCUCCCUGAGAAUGAUCUGAUCCAUCAUCACCUGAACCAGGGAUCACACUCUAAGGGUCCAGGUAUAUGCCCGUAUGUCAGAAGUCUUAGGAAUAACAGAUGACAACCACGUUCUAGAAACAUUCAUGACGAAAAUUGUUACAAACCUUAAAUACUGGGGAAGAUGUGAACCCGUAAUUUCAAGGACUCUUCAGUUCCUAAAUGAC